rnacentral:rRNA from 1 species
UCUGCCCAUGAUAAUUAAAUGGCUGCGGUAAUUUGACCGUACGAAGGUAGCAUAAUAAUUAGUCUCUUAAUUGGAGUCUGGAAUGAAUGAUUGGAUGAGAAAAUUACUUUCUUUAAUUUUUAUUUAUUAUAAUUUUAUUUUUUAGUGAAAAAGCUUAAAUUUUUAUUUGGGACGAUAAGACCCUAUAGAGCUUUAUUUUUAUUUUUAGUUAUAAAUUUUUGGGUUUUAUUAAUUUAUUUUUGUUUUUAAAAAUUUGGUUGGGGUGACAGUUUAAAUUUUAUUAACUUUUAUUUUUUUUUUCAUUAAUUUUUGAUUUUUUUGAUCCUUAAUUUUUGAUUAUAAGAUGAAGUUACCUUAGGGAUAACAGCGUAAUUUAUUUGUAGAGUUCUUAUCGAUAAAUAAGUUUGCGACCUCGAUGUUGGAUUAAGAUUAGUGGAGGGUGAAGG